rnacentral:rRNA from 1 species
AUUGAACGCUGGCGGCAGGCCUAACACAUGCAAGUCGAGCGGAUGAAGGGAGCUUGCUCCUGGAUUCAGCGGCGGACGGGUGAGUAAUGCCUAGGAAUCUGCCUGGUAGUGGGGGAUAACGUCCGGAAACGGGCGCUAAUACCGCAUCCGUCCAGAGGGAGAAAGUGGGGGAUCUUCGGACCUCACGCUAUCAGAUGAGCCUAGGUCGGAUUAGCUAGUUGGUGGGGUAAAGGCCUACCAAGGCGACGAUCCGUAACUGGUCUGAGAGGAUGAUCAGUCACACUGGAACUGAGACACGGUCCAGACUCCUACGGGAGGCAGCAGUGGGGAAUAUUGGACAAUGGGCGAAAGCCUGAUCCAGCCAUGCCGCGUGUGUGAAGAAGGUCUUCGGAUUGUAAAGCACUUUAAGUUGGGAGGAAGGGCAGUAAGUUAAUACCUUGCUGUUUUGACGUUACCAACAGAAUAAGCACCGGCUAACUUCGUG